rnacentral:rRNA from 1 species
AUUGAACGCUGGCGGCAGGCCUAACACAUGCAAGUCGAGCGGGGUUUUCGGACCUAGCGGCGGACGGGUGAGUAAUGCGUAGGAAGCUGCCCGAUAGAGGGGGAUACCAGUUGGAAACGACUGUUAAUACCGCAUAAUGUCUACGGACCAAAGUGUGGGACCUUCGGGCCACAUGCUAUCGGAUGCGCCUACGUGGGAUUAGCUAGUUGGUGAGGUAAUGGCUCACCAAGGCGACGAUCUCUAGCUGGUUUGAGAGGAUGAUCAGCCACACUGGAACUGAGACACGGUCCAGACUCCUACGGGAGGCAGCAGUGGGGAAUAUUGGACAAUGGGCGCAAGCCUGAUCCAGCCAUGCCGCGUGUGUGAAGAAGGCCUUCGGGUUGUAAAGCACUUUCAGCGAGGAGGAAGGGGUUGUAGUUAAUAGCUGCAACCUUUGACGUUACUCGCAGAAGAAGCACCGGCUAACUCUGUGCCAGCCGCCGCCGUAACAC